UACGUAGGGGGCAAGCGUUAUCCGGAAUUACUGGGUGUAAAGGGAGCGUAGACGGUAAUGUAAGUCUGGAGUGAAAGGCGGGGGCCCAACCCCCGGACUGCUCUGGAAACUAUGUUACUAGAGUGCAGGAGAGGUAAGCGGAAUUCCUAGUGUAGCGGUGAAAUGCGUAGAUAUUAGGAGGAACACCAGUGGCGAAGGCGGCUUACUGGACUGUAGCUGACGUUGAGGCUCGAAAGCGUGGGGAGCAAACAGG
rnacentral:rRNA from 1 species